rfam:Gossypium raimondii chromosome 7, whole genome shotgun sequence.
AAUCUCUGGUGUGAACAUUUCUGAAUCAACAUUUUGAAACGUUCCCAUGCCUCAUGAAAACUUUCUCUUUCCAUCUAUAUAAAGACAACAAUCUCUCUACUUAGUUG